rnacentral:tRNA from 1 species
ACCUGGCUGGCUCAGUCGGUGGAGCAUGGGACUCUUGAUCUCGGGGUUGUGAGUUCGAGCCCCAUGUUGGGCA